AGGGUUCGAUUCUGGCUCAGGAUGAACGCUGGCGGCGUGCCUAACACAUGCAAGUCGAGCGAUCUCUUGGAGAGAGCGGCGGACGGGUGAGUAACGCGUGGGUAACCUGCCCUGUACACACGGAUAACAUACCGAAAGGUAUACUAAUACGGGAUAACAUAUGAAAGUCGCAUGGCUUUUGUAUCAAAGCUCCGGCGGUACAGGAUGGACCCGCGUCUGAUUAGCUAGUUGGUAAGGUAAUGGCUUACCAAGGCAACGAUCAGUAGCCGACCUGAGAGGGUGAUCGGCCACACUGGAACUGAGACACGGUCCAAACUCCUACGGGAGGCAGCAGUGGGGAAUAUUGCACAAUGGGCGAAAGCCUGAUGCCAGCAACGCCGCGUGAGCGAUGAAGGCCUUCGGGUCGUAAAGCUCUGUCCUCAAGGAAGAUAAUGACGGUACUUGAGGAGGAAGCCCCGGCUAACUACGUGCCAGCAGCGGC
rnacentral:rRNA from 1 species